AAAUUGAUAUUCAUUGGGGGUCUUUACAUAUCAUUAAAGUUUGGGGUGACCUACUAAACAAAAAUGCACUCCGUUGGGCGUUGGCUAAGGAGGAUUAUGGCAUAAUAAUUGGGACUAUGUUUAGGCGGUUCAGAAGACAAGAGUUCCUCGAGUCUUCGGAUCAUACCGCAAUACACUUCAAUCCGUUCCAUCACAACACCCACUAUUUUGGACCAAUUCAAAAAGCUUUGGUGGCGCGGAACAACCGUCAGUUUGCUGUUACAUUUCUUGAAGAGCAAAGGCGUAGAUAGAUUCUACAAUUUCACAAAGAGCAAUAAUUGGAACUAUGUUUAGGCCUAGAUAGAUUCUACAAUGAUAGAAUACAUGUCGUACUGUUAUUGAUCAACCAAGAGCAACAUGAGGCUGAAUUGUAAUACCUAUGACAUGGGUUUAA